GGAGCGGGAGGGAGCGCUCUCCCUGGGCUGGUUAGCUUUGGCACGCUUUCUCGAGUGGGGUCGCCCUGGUUCUUCAAUGGGCGGCGUGUCGGCGGCCAUUGCGAGAAGACGCCUUUCCCACCCGUUGAGCUAGGAACGCUGUUCCAGCCCCAGCUGCCCUUCGUUACAGGGACACGUGGCCUCCAUCAGAAAUGGAGGGAGGUCGGGCCGGUAUGUCUGCAGAGAGCGAGAUUCCAAUGGGCCGCAGGCACCGCCGUUCCUGCGGAGUCAUCGCCCUGAUCCCGGGAGCCUGAGACCUCUCUACCUAACAAAACACGAUCUAGAUCACAACCAAGCAACAUAAAGUCAUCUUAACCUGUUCCCGUGCUGUUUCCUGAUUUUGGUCAUUAAAAUCAGACACAUCCCUAGCGACAGAAUUGAGAGGCCAUGUGCAGAUUUAAAAUACCCAUUUCUGUAACUCACUCAUUUUUCAUUUUCAAUAUGCUGAAAACCCCUGUAAGACUGAAGUGACUUUGAACAUCCUAAUCAUCUCUGGUUGUGUUUCGUGACCCAAAGCUUUGAAUACUGGGGAAAGAAUCAGCAUGAUUUAUCGUAGAAAGAAGUGAGACUUGGACUGGACUUCAUACAGAUAUGCAGAAUUUCUGAAGGCAGAAUUGGAAGAAGGAUUCUUGAGAUGAAGAAAAGGUGAAUGGGAAAGGAGGCCGCAAAUCACAGGACUCACAUUGUGGAAGAAGAGAACUGAAUUGUGCUCCCAUCUCCACACACGUUGACAUACACGCAAUAGUAAAUGUGAAAAUUGAAUGAAAAUGAGGACAUGACGGCUCCAAGACUCACUUAAAACAGAACACCAACAUGACAUGACUGCUCAAAGGUCACAAGCUAUCAACAAGAAGGCAGAUGUCCUGCAGCCCGCUAUUAUGGAUGGAGGACCUUGGGGAUGGCUGUCCAUGCAGCCUGCUGGCAAGUCUCUGUUAUUCUUUAAUCAUUGAUUCAGGUAAAAUCUUAUCCUUCUCAAGAACUCUGAUGCUUUUGAUGACUGGUAGUCUUGCCAGCUUAAAGCAAAAACAGAUUCCUGUUUUUGUGAAAGAUAGGAAAGUCUAAGAUGUAUGAAAGUCUGAGAAUGUAGUUACGAAGGCCUGAGGAUAAAAAGGCUUAAAUGAUGAUAAAGUGAGUUGAGACAUUAAGAAGACUGAAAUAUGUUCCGGAUUUCUCUAUUUCUCAUGCUACUGUUCAUA